rnacentral:rRNA from 1 species
GGAUGGGUCUGCGGCCGAUUAGGUAGUUGGUUAGGUAAUGGCUUACCAAGCCGUUGAUCGGUACGGGUUGUGAGAGCAAGAGCCCGGAGAUGGAACCUGAGACAAGGUUCCAGGCCCUACGGGGUGCAGCAGGCGCGAAACCUCCGCAAUGUGAGAAAUCGCGACGGGGGAUCCCAAGUGCCAUUCUUAACGGGAUGGCCUUUCAUUAGUGUAAAGAGCUUUUGGAAUAAGGGCUGGGCAAGACCGGUGCCAGCCGCCGCGGUAACACCGGCAGCUCUAGUGGUAGCAGUUUUUAUUGGGCCUAAAGCGUCCGUAGCCGGUUUAAUAAGUCUCUGGUGAAAUCCUGUAGCUUAACUGUGGGAAUUGCUGGAGAUACUAUUAGACUUGAGACCGGGAGAGGUUAGAGGUACUCCCAGGGUAGAGGUGAAAUUCUGUAAUCCUGGGAGGACCGCCUGUUGCGAAGGCGUCUAACUGGAACGGUUCUGACGGUGAGGGACGAAAGUUAGGGGCGCGAACCGGAUUAGAUACCCGGGUAGUCCUAACUGUAAACGAUGCGGACUUGGUGUUGGGGUGGCUUUGAGCUGCUUCAGUGCCGAAGGGAAGCUGUUAAGUCCGCCGCCUGGGAAGUACGGUCGCAAGACUGAAACUUAA